GCUUCCUAUCACACUGCUGACUACACUACUGCCUCACCACAGGCUCCAAAACAAGAGCCAAACAACCAUGGACCGGCAGCUCCAAAACUGCAAGCCAAAAUAAUUUAGCUUUGAUAAAUUAACUGGGUAUUUUGUUAGACAGUACCCGUGUAAAGCUUCAACUGCGAUCCCGGUAUGAGGGAUGAAGGAAGCAGAGACAGGAGACUCCCCGGCUCAUUGGAGUAUCUAAAAUCUGAAAAACUGUACCCUUCACGGUGCCUGUCAGCGUUGGGCAAAAGGCUGAGAAGGAAGGGCUGGCUGUACGUCUUGGGAUGGGGGUCCAAACCCCUUUCAGCCACUGUCUGCAGUGUCCGCAGCCUCCACCCCUGGUCUGCUUCCUCCGAACCACUCCGGGGUGGUUUGGCAAGAAUAUCGUCUGAGAAUACUGACCUGGUGUAUUUGUUCUGUUAUAACUAAAUACCUGAGACUGAAUAAUCUAUAAUAAAAAGUAAUUUUUCAAAGUUCUGGAGGUUGGGAAGUCAAGAUGAAGGCCCGUUCUUUAUCUUCCUGCUGAAUCGUUACUCAUCACAUGGCGGACCUGCCAGGGGUACAAAAAGAG
rnacentral:lncRNA from 1 species